rnacentral:rRNA from 1 species
AAUGGCCGCGGUACCUUGACCGUGCUAAGGUAGCGCAAUCAGUUGGCUCUUAAUUGGGGUCAGGAAUGAAUGGAGUUACGGAGUUUUACUGUCUCUUAGUUAAUUAUUCUAAAUUACUAUCUAGGUGAAAAAGCCUAAUAAUAGAAAGGGGACGAGAAGACCCUUAGAGUUUGACCUAUAUAAAUUUUAGAAAUUGUGUUUAUAAUGGUUUAGUUGGGGCAACGUAGGAGCAAUAAGGAAAGAGUAAAAUCUCCUAAAUUUUAUUAACCGAUAUUUUUAAAUUUGAAUAAACUACCUUAGGGAUAACAGCAUAAUUUAAUAAAUAAGUUUGUGACCUCGAUGUUGGACUAGGAAACUUAAAGGCUAGCCGUCUUUAAGGAAAGUUCUGUUCGAACUAUUAUUCCUACAUGAUCUGAGUU